UGCCUUUAGAUUAACUAAUUAAAGGUAUAUCCUGCCCGGUGAAUUACGGUUUAAACGGCCGCGGUAUCCUGACCGUGCAAAGGUAGCAUAAUCACUUGCCUUUUAAUUGGAGGCUUGUAUGAAUGGAUUAACGAGGGGCUAAUUGUCUCAUCUAUAAACAUAAAAUUUAGUAUUUGGGUGAAGAAACUCAAAUUACAUUAAAAGACAAGAAGACCCUAUCGAGUUUUAUUUUAUCUUCUAAAUUUUAAAAAUUAUAAUAUUUUAAAAAUAAGAGGGUUAAUUUGGUUGGGGCGACUGGGGAAUUAAAAAAACUUCCCCCAUAAAAAGAGUAUAAUUCGUUGAAAGAUCCAUAAUAAUGAUCUAAAGAAAAACACUACCGUAGGGAUAACAGGCUAAUUUCUUUAGAGAGUUCAUAUUGACAAAGAAGAUUGGCACCUCGAUGUUGGCUUAGAAUAUCCUUUGUAUGCAGCAGUACAAAAGGGUUGGUUUGUUCAACCAUAAAAAUUCUACGUG
rnacentral:rRNA from 1 species